CAGUCGCCACGGGAAUACAGAGGGUGCAAGCGUUAAUCGGAAUUACUGGGCGUAAAGCGUGCGCAGGCGGUUUGUUAAGACAGAUGUGAAAUCCCCGGGCUCAACCUGGGAACUGCAUUUGUGACUGGCAGGCUAGAGUAUGGCAGAGGGGGGUGGAAUUCCGCGUGUAGCAGUGAAAUGCGUAGAUAUGCGGAGGAACACCGAUGGCGAAGGCAGCCCCCUGGGCCAAUACUGACGCUCAUGCACGAAAGCGUGGGGAGCAAACAGGAUUAGAUACCCCGGUAGUCCCUGUCUCUUAUAA
rnacentral:rRNA from 1 species